rnacentral:rRNA from 1 species
AGCCUUGGGUCCUAUCCAAGGUGAAACCUGCCCAGUGCGUAUAGUCAACGGCCGCAGUACCCUGACUGUGCUAAGGUAGCAUAAUCAGUUGGCUUUUAAAUGGAGCCGGGAAUGAACGGAUUCAUGGGGUUAAGCUGUCUCUUUUAUAUUAAAUUAAAUUUACUCAUUAGGUGAAAAUGCCUAAAUUUUGAAAAAAGACGAGAAGACCCUAGGAGUUUUCACUAAGACUAAGUAAAAGUUACGUUUUUGUUGGGGCGACAUGAGAGGAGUAGAACCUCUUUUUCUUUAUUUGCCGACUCAGUAUGAAAAUUUAAACUACCCUAGGGAUAACAGCGUAAUUCUUUUUGAGUUUGCGACCUCGAUGUUGGACUAGGAAUUUGGUGGGCUAGCCGCCUAUUAGAAUUGUUCUGUUCGAACUAUUUUUCCUACGU